UGCUUUGCGCAGUGGCAGCAUCGUAGCCAAUGAGAUUAAUCCGAGGCACGAUUAUUGCUAAUUCAAAACUUUUCCCAACAUAGAACAAAGACAAGAGAAACGCGGGGCUCCGAGCUGGCCUCGAACUCAUGACCUCUUGGUCAGAGUGAUUUGUUACAGCUGGCUGCAGC
ensembl:snRNA U4 U4 spliceosomal RNA